ACGAAAUCCAAGCCCUUCCCUGUCGCUAUUGGACACGAAAUGAGUGCACAGAAGCUUGGGAAUAUAAAACUGGCUCUUUUUCUCUUUUGAACUCCCCAAGCUUCUGUGCACUCAUUUUGUGUCCAGUACCUGUACAGAUCUGCCAGCCCUCAGCAUCUGCUGUCUGAAGAAAGCGUGGAGCAAGGCCCAAACUGGGAGUGAUAAAAAAAGGCAACCAAAACCCCAGCCAGGCAACACCCAUGCUCUAAAAAGGUGGAGCCGAGGAGGGGCCAUGUAAAACAGUUCCUGGAAAAUCUAAACUAGUUCAUGGAUUUGCAUCAGGAUCUAUGAAGAUGCAACAGGCUGAUGUAAUUAAAAGGAGAGUGAAGGUGUUUUUCACGUGAGAGAA